ensembl:processed_transcript Snhg5 small nucleolar RNA host gene 5
CCAGUGAGAAAACUAGAUGUGACCAUCCAGAAAAAGCAUAGACAAAAAAAUGCAGUCUUAGUACUGGGAUGUUUGAGAUGGGGUCUAUCUACAUGUCUCUAGCUGUCCCUAUCAGGACAGCAUCUGGUGUGGCCUGCAGAGUUGAUUCCUGUACUUUUUUUUUUUUUUGUGGGCUGUAUGUAAAUGGAUUGUUUUGACAAUCCAUUCGACAGUGUUCUCUUCUGUGAAGGUCAUAGGUGAGCUGAUUGACAGACACAGCUGUACAGACUGAAUGCAAUCCUGACUAUAAAGCUGCAGUUCAUCAUUAUGAGCUAUUUCCUUAUUCUGGCAGUGAUUGAAAUAAAAUGGGGAGUAUUGAAAUAAAAAACAUUCAAUU